AGGGUUCGAUUAUGGCUCAGGAUGAACGCUGACAGAAUGCUUAACACAUGCAAGUCUACUUGAUCCUUCGGGUGAAGGUGGCGGACGGGUGAGUAACGCGUAGAGAACUUGCCUUACAGACUGGGACAACAUUUGGAAACGAAUGCUAAUACCGGAUAUUAUGAUUGGGUCCCAUGAUCUGGUUAUGAAAGCUAUAUGCGCUGUGAGAGAGCUUUGCGUCCCAUUAGUUAGUUGGUGUGGUAACGGCUCACCAAGACGAUGAUGGGUAGCCGGCCUGAGAGGGUGAACGGCCACAAGGGGACUGAGACACGGCCCUU
rnacentral:rRNA from 1 species